rnacentral:rRNA from 1 species
GACGAACGCUGGCGGCGUGCCUAACACAUGCAAGUGGAGCGACGAACCGGGGCUUGCCCCGGGGCAGCGCCGCGAACGGGUGAGUAACACGUGGGUGACCUGCCCCGAUGACUGGGACAACCCGUCGAAAGACGGGCUAUAACCGGAUGUGCCCGUUGGGGGAGAGGAAGCUUGGGCCCCAGCAUCGGGCGGGGCCGGCGGCGCAUUAGGUUGUUGGUGGGGUAAUGGCUUACCAAGGCGACCAUGCGUAGUUGGUGUGAGAGGCCGAUAAGCCACACUGGGACUGGGACACGGCCCAUACUCCUGCGGGAGGCAGCAGUGGGGAAUCGUGCACAGUGCGCGGAAGCGUGAUGCAGCAACGCCGCGUGCGGGAAGAAGGCCUUAGGGUUGUAAACCGCGUUCAGUUGGGACGAGGCGUCGAUCGUGAAUAGCGGGUUGGAGUGACGGUACCUUCAGAAGAAGCGCCGGCUAACUACGUG